rnacentral:rRNA from 1 species
AGUGAACGCUGGCGGCAGGCCUAACACAUGCAAGUCGAGCGGAUGCACGGAGCUUGCUCCUGGAUUCAGCGGCGGACGGGUGAGUAAUUGCUAGGAAUCUGCCUAGUAGUGUGGGAUAACGUCCGGAAACGGGCGCUAAUACCGCAUUCGUCCUGACGAAGUAAGUGGGGGAUCUUCGGACCUCACGCCAUCAGACGAUCCUAGGUCGGAUUAGCUAGUUGGUGGGGUAAAGGCCUACCAAGGCGACGAUCCGUAACUGGUCUGAGAGGAUGAUCAGUCACACUGGAACUGAGACACGGUCCAGACUCCUACGGGAGGCAGCAGUGGGGAAUAUUGGACAAUGGGCGAAAGCCUGAUCCAGCCAUGCCGCGUGUGUGAAGAAGGUCUUCGGAUUGUAAAGCACUUUAAGUUGGGAGGAAGGGCAGUAAGUUAAUACCUUGCUGUUUUGACGUUACCAAAAGAAUAAGCACCGGCUAACUUCGUG